UGGCUAACUCCUACGGGAGGCAGCAGUGGGGAAUUUUGGACAAUGGGGGCAACCCUGAUCCGGCAAUGCCGCGUGAGUGAAGAAGGCCUUCGGGUUGUAAAGCUCUUUUGUCAGGGAAGAAACGGUAGUAGCUAAUAUCUAUUACUAAUGACGGUACCUGAAGAAUAAGCACCGGCCAACUACGUGCCAGCAGCCGCGGUAAUACGUAGGGUGCAAGCGUUAAUCGGAAUUACUGGGCGUAAAGCGUGCGCAGGCGGUUGUGUAAGUCAGAUGUGAAAUCCCCGGGCUCAACCUGGGAAUUGCAUUUGAGACUGCACGGCUAGAGUGUGUCAGAGGGGGGUAGAAUUCCACGUGUAGCAGUGAAAUGCGUAGAGAUAUGGAAGAACAUCGAUGGCGAAGGCAGCCUCCUGGGUUAACACUGACGCUCAUGCACGAAAGCGUGGGGAGCAAACAGGAUUAGAUACCCCAGUAGUCCAGCUGG
rnacentral:rRNA from 1 species